GAUGAACGCUGGCGGCGUGCCUAAUACAUGCAAGUCGAGCGAACAGACGAGAAGAUUUCUCCUCUACCGUUAGCGGCUGACGGGUGAGUAACACGUAGAUCACCUACCUAUAAUACUGGGAUGACUUCGUGAAAAAGCUGCUACUAAUGGCGCAUACAUUGAACGGCUUAGAUCAAUAGUGCAUCACGGUUUUCCUGUUACUUUUAGCUGGAUCCGCAUCGCAUUAGCUAGUUGGUAAGGUAACGGCUCACCAAGGCGACGUUGCGUAGCCGACCUGAGAGGGUGAUCGGCCACACUGGAACUGAGACACGGUCCAGACUCCUACGGGAGGCAGCAGUAGGGAAUCUUGCGCAAUGGGCGAAAGCCUGACGGAGCAAUGCCGCGUGAGUGAUGAAGGUCUUCGGAUCGUAAAACUCUGUUAUUAGGGAAGAACAAAUGUGUAAGUAACUAUGCACGUCUUGACGGUACCUAAUCAGAAAGCCACGGCUAACUACGUG
rnacentral:rRNA from 1 species